GGUAGCGAAAUUCCUUGUCGGGUAAGUUCCGACCUGCACGAAUGGUCUAAUGAGUUGAACACUGUCUCCUCCACGAGCCCGGUGAAAUUGUAGUAUCGGUGAAGAUGCCGGUUACCCGCCACGGGACGGAAAGACCCCGUGAACCUUCACUACAACUUUGCAUUGAUUUUGAAUUACGGAUGUGUAGAAUAGUUGGGACGCUUUGAAGCCUUGCCGCUAGGUAGGGUGGAGCGGUCGUUGAAAAUACCAACCUUCUUUGAUUUAGAGUCUAAUCCCUUGCUGGAAACAGUGCAUGGUGGGUAGUUUGACUGGGGUGGUCGCCUCCUAAAGAGUAACGGAGGCUUGCAAAGGUACCCUCAGUACGGUUGGUAAUCGUACGUAGAGCGCAUUAGUAUAAGGGUGCUUGACUGUGAGGCACACAAGCCGAGCAGGGACGAAAGUCGGCUAAAGUGAUCCGGCGGUUCUGUGUGGAAGGCCGUCGCUCAAAGGAU
rnacentral:rRNA from 1 species